CCCGUGGCCUAGCUAGGAUAGGGCGCAGCGGAUAUAAGCCUGAAGUCGAGGGUUCAAUUCCCUCCGGG
rnacentral:tRNA from 1 species